AGCCCUCUAAAGGAUGCAAAAGUCGUAACACGGUUUCCGUAGGUGAACCUGCGGAAGGAUCAUUC
rnacentral:rRNA from 1 species